UCAAACUGCGCCGCUAUUCCUUGAACAACUGCUCACAGUUUAUGAAGUCUGUGAGACAUUAGGCUAUUUUCGUUCUCGUGGAACGUCGAGGGCUAUUCGCUAGCAGCUGAAGAACUUGACUUGGUGUCUUGCAUGUGUUUGUUAUCAAGCAAUGUUCAAUGUACUAAGUGUCCAAUUGCGCUUGAAACCACAAAGCAUAGGAAAUUUGUCUUCUCAUUGAUCCGAUCAUGAUGGCUUGCAGGCUGACUUCUUUGUUUCUUACGAUCUUAUCUGCUCGACUGAUGCUUGCCUUAAACGAUAAAGAGCGUCUCAACUACUGUCAAGGCAUAUUUGAGGACAAGGACACCUGCGUUUAUCCCAAGAUGUGCAAGUGCCCCUUGAUGAAUACCGGAGGAUACAUGAGGUUGACUCUGUGGCACUACGACAACCACACCGGCCGGUGCCGGAAAAUCGUGGGAAGCAACGCAAAUGGGAAUUGCAACAUGUUCGAAAAGCAUGACGACUGCCGAAGAUUGUGCAAAAAGCCCUUGAAGCAACGGCGUCCCAAACCGAACACGCAAAAUAAUAACGUUGGCAAAAAGAAUGUGCCCGCGUUAAAUACCAAAUACAAUCUCCGCACGGCGAAUUGAGCGAAAUGACAACGGCGUUACUUCUUUCCACCCGUAAAAAAUUCAUUCCAGUUUGAUGAAAAGCGGUAUUGGGCUACUGGGGACAGUGCUUAAAAAUGGCAUGCAUGAAUAAAUUUACACGUUGCU